UACGUAGGUGGCAAGCGUUGUCCGGAAUUAUUGGGCGUAAAGCGCGCGCAGGCGGUUCUUUAAGGCUGAUGUGAAAGCCCACGGCUCAACCGUGGAGGGUCAUUGGAAACUGGAGAACUUGAGUACAGAAGAGGAAAGCGGAAUUCCACGUGUAGCGGUGAAAUGCGUAGAGAUGUGGAGGAACACCAGUGGCGAAGGCGGCUCUCUGGGACGGUACUGACGCUGAGACGCGAAAGCGUGGGGAGCGAACAGG
rnacentral:rRNA from 1 species